AUGGGCCUAAUUCUGUCUACUGCAAAUCAUAAACGAAUAUGGCUCACAAUAUAUUUUGAAAAAGAAAUUUGGUACACAAAUACGAGUUCAGAAACAAUAUCAAAUCAUCCAGUAGAAAGAAAUAAAGUCAGGAAUCACAGCUCCAUCCCAAUAGCAAAAUCAACAAAAAGGCCUCAUUCUUUUUUCUCACACAAUAAUAAGAAUUUUGGGUUUAAUCAUAGGCCUAUAACUCCUAUUGCAAAUCACAAAUAA